GCCCCCAUGGCCCAACUGGCAGAGGCGGCCGGCUUAAACCCGGCGUGUUCCGGGUUCGAGUCCCGGUGGGGGCACCC
rnacentral:tRNA from 3 species